GCUCGAAAAUGUUAAAGUUCUUAUUUCAUGGUAUAACUUUGGUAUGCUUGGACCUAGAGUCUUCAAACUUGACAUGAAGGUUGGCCAGGAUGAACAGAUGACCACUGGUCAUUUCAAGGUCAUUCAUUUGAAGGUGAAGGUCACUGUGACCUUCAAUAUAAAAAUGUUAAAGUUGUUAUAACUUUGGUAUGCUUGGACCUAGAGUCUUGAAACUUGACAUGAAGGUUGGCCAGAACUAGUAAGUAACCACUGGACAUUUCAAGGUCAUUCAUUUGAAGGUCAAGGUCACUGUGACCUUGAAUGUAAAAAUGUUAAAGUUGUUAUAACUUUGGUAUGCUUGGACCUAGAGUCUUGAAACUUGACAUGAAGGUUGGCCAGAACUAGUAAGUAACCACUGGACAUUUCAAGGUCAUUCAUUUGAAGGUCAAGGUCACUGUGACCUUGAAUGUAAAAAUGUUAAAGUUCUUAUUUCAUGUUAUAACUUUGGUAUGCUUGUACCUAGAGUCUUCAAACUUGAAAUAAAGAUUGGCCAGUACUAGAAGAUGACCACUGGUCAUUUCAAUGUCAUUCAUAAAUAGUAUUAUUUCAUCUAAGUUUAUUUUCUUACAUUUGAUAAUGAAAUUGAUGGAAACUUCAAACAAUAUGUUACUAAUUUGCUAAUAAAAAAAUUGAGAUCAAACUUU